UGUGGAUAGUUGUAUCUAAUAUGAUUACACGUAUUAAACUUGAUCAUAAAUUGUUAUUUGGUGCGUAAUUAUAAACCCAGUGAUCUUGAAGAUGUCGUUCAAUUUUCCACCCUGUAUUCCUAAUUGAACUUCAUGAUUCCGCUCUCAUAAAAUUUCUGGUGAUGAUGACACAAGAUGAAAAUCUGGGAAAUAAGUCAACUCAAAACAAUAACCCAAUUGGUAGAAAGAGAAAAAAGGCUGAAAAUGACACACUAGAAAUGAGAAAGGAUAGACCGGAAUAUCAAAGGAAGAAGUAUCAAUUAGUAAUAAAAAAUUUUCCAUAGAAUAAAGAAAAAUUAAAGAAUAUGAAAGCAUAUGAAAGAAAAAUUGAGCUACGGCCAAUUUUACAACCUAGGGUAAAAUUGAAGAUCGAACUAUGGUUUAAACUCUAUUUGAAACCAAUAAUAAAUAAACAAGUCAUUUUAUAUGUCACAGUCAAACAUUUUUCUGUCAGUCGUCACUAGCGCGGAAAUAUAACUAAUUUUUUUCCGAUAUUUGUUUUAAAGUUGAAUUGUAGUGCUUUUGGUUAAUCUUGUAUAAAAACACAAAGAAAUGUUUUCGAUAGAAGCAAAACAAAUUUGAAAAAUAGACAGGAAACUUCAAAUAUUGCUGCCUCAUGACCGCCAAACCAAAGAAAAAUAUUUGUCUGAUUUUUGGCACCGAUUUUAUGAUUUCCUCCGAUCUGAUAAUCAACCACUCUUUGACUCGCAAUGUCAAUCGCAAUGAUUCUAUUAACUCUAGAACGUUCUUCAAAUUCUUCAUCUCUGUAUUACUGGAAUGUUUCCUGUAUAUAAUUUCCAUUCUCUUCAGUUUCACUAGACCAUUUACUUUCAUCUCCACUACCGAAUGGAUAUUCUUUCUCUAUCUUAAACAUUUCUCACAACAAAUAAGCUUAUAAAUCACCAUCAAAAAUAUAUGUUGACAUGUGACUACCCAAAUGUUCUAAAGUAUCUUUGAAACAUUUUCACCUACUACUUAAAAUAUUCAAUUUGUUGCUAGAACGUGAAAAAUUUUGUUCAACAUUUAAACUGGAUGAUACUUUUGGAUAUCGCGCAUGAUAAAAUAGUUACAAACAGUCUUCUAGAUCAAGCAGUAUUAAGAUCUCUUUUGCUGGCUGAUGGUUUUUUAAUUUUAAUAGGUAGGUAUAUUUUUCAAGAUUUGACUUUUGUACUCCUCAUGGAAGAAGUUCCGAGCGUCUUGAGGAAGAUACAAAAUGAAACUUUCAAUCGCCAUUGCCUGUAAUAGCAAAACCCAAACCCUUAUUCAACAACUCCAUAUCUUUUCCGUCAAACGUCUGGAAAUAAAUGUUGAUUGGCUCCAAAGAAAUUUUCUUGGACUGCGGUUUCAACUUCUUCAAUUUCUUACUCAAAACAAACAUCUUAAAUUUUUUAAUAAUGACCCAGAACAUGUUUCUUUGAAACUCACACCAGUUUUCAAAUUCUAAAUCGGUUAAUUUAUGUGUUAGUUUUUUGUAAAGUCCGUAUGCUUCUAUUGGUGAGAAAAUUUAGUAUAAAACAGGUUAUUAGAGUUUAGUUUAACAUCGAAAAGCGCGUCAGACAGUGUAAUUGUUGGUGUAGUGGUGGUGUAAACAAUGUAUUCAAUAUUAAUAUCGCCUACGGUUCCAGAAAUUCCAACUUAAUAUCUAAAACUUGAUCAUAUCCAAUUUCCAAAUUUUUAUCUUAAAAUAACCGAUCUACUAGUGAAAAUUUAUUUCGUUUUUGUUCCCAUUCAACAUCCUGCAUCUCACUAAGAAGCAUACUUAGGAUAAAUCCAUUGUUGUUGAUGAAUGUGUUAUUUUUGCCUACUGAACAAAUUGUUACAAUUUAGUUCAGUACUUACUCGUAUAAAUCGUAUAAAAAAUACACAAUAUUAGUAGUGCAUAAAAAUAUUUUGUACUCCAGUGUCAGCAUUGCUGGAAUUGCAGUAAUUAAAAUAAAUAUCUAUUCACAUGUUUAUCAAAUUAACAAAAUUAACAAAACACUGUAAACACCAACCUCGAAAUAGUGAUUUUAUCAAUUAUCUAAAAACAUAACACACGGCUUUUUGUGAAAGUAGAAUAAUAUUACAGAUCUGGUUUUCCCGUCACAAAUUUAAUUGCUACGUACAUAAAAAAUCAAGUAACUGGUUUUAACCGUGAAAAUGAGGUACAUAUGAAACUAAUUUUACAUUUUAUCGUUAAAUUAAAUCACUAACGUGAGUAGUUUAAUAAGCAACAUUUGAGUAAUAAAUUCUGCAAGAUAUAAUGCGCAAACGUAUAGGGAGGUAUUCAAAUUACAUAGCUUGUAAUAAAAGAGGGAGGUUAAAAAAAACAAAGAUACGUUACGUUAUUUUAAAUUUAAUGUAAUUCAGAACCAUAACAAAAACGAUAACUAAAACGUUAAAAUAUUUAAUGUUCUCUGAAAAUAACGCGGUAAUUGAAAAAACAGAAAUUUGAUUUUUUAUGUAUUUAGAAAGUUUAUCAUUAGUUAUAUUUAUGAGUAAUUGAAAAUUGAUAAAAUUGAAGAAAAUAUGCAUCAAUCAAUAACCAACAGCGUCAGAAGUGAAACUUUUUGAUAUUCGAAAACUGUCAAUGACUGUGCAAAAAAAUACAUUGCAGUGAAAGAAAAUUAUCUUAAAUUUAUUACUACGGAAGUUUCACUUGCAUGUACCGCAAUAGGUUCAAACUUAAAGGAGACCUAAAUCAAGAAAAUUCAUACCGAAAAUAUAGGUCAAUUUGAAUCUUGAUUAUUAAGUACUACGAAUUUAAUAAGAUUUUAAAGAGAAAAAAUAAAAUUCUACGCACAUUUAUCAAUUCCCCCAUGAUACCAGCGUUUUCGUAGUAGGAUUGUGGUAAAACUAAACACCAAAGUAUACUACAGAUUGACUCAACCCAUUCUCAUCUUGCUCUUUUCUUUGUCAGCGAGGAUAAAAGAUGAUUUAUUAAACUUGUUUAUGAAUCGGCGGAACCCAGAACAGGUUUGCAGAAAGGAAAGGUGAGCAGUUCCUCAACAUUUGAAAGGUAUGAGAUUAUGGCAUCGAACUUUGAAUUAUCAGGGGGUAUACCUUGUGGUGAAAUGAUAUGUCCAAGAUAUUUAACAGAAUCACAACAAUAUUUAGCGUGUUGAUAAUAUUUCUACCAAGUGUCAAUUUCAUUUUGAAAUUGAUGAAUGUAAUUUAUGUAAUAGAAGGUCCGAAAUAUUGCUUCUGCGCAUUACGAUAUUUGAUUGUCAUUUGUUAGCUUAUUGCGACGAAGCCGUGUCACAGGCAAUUUAAAGUUUAAAUAUUAGACUUUAUGCUAUGGUCAGUCAAAUACCAAGUCAAAUUCGCCAUUGUAUGCUUUUUGAGUUUUGCAACGGUAGUCACGCAACAGUUGCGACAACAAAUAUUGGCGAUGUUUAUCCAAGUACAUUUAACAUUUGUGCAUACCACUGCAAGUGAUUGGAAAAUAAGCAGAGCGGGUGUUUGUAUCUUUAUAAUUUGGCCGAAGAGAACUAAGUCAUCAGAUCAAUCCCAUGCAACGGUAUUGCUUCAAUGGUAUUGUAUGACUUAGCUCUCUCCAAAUCAAUCUCCACGAAGUAAUGCAAAGCUAAAUUUAGAUUUCAAAAAGGCGUUUAUGAGUGUUUGGUGGAGUGUACACGCUCCUUUUGAAAUACUGAAGCUUGGACAAUCUGUUAAUACAGAUCUUUAUUGUGAACAAUUGAAUAAAGUGAACCAGUCUUUCAUCGAAGAGUAUCCGGCGAUUGUCAACACAAAAGUCGUUAUUUUACAAUAGAGCAAUGCAAGACCAUACUGUAGAAGAUUUGGAAAAAAUUAAUGAAUUGGGGUGGAUAGUGGCUUUAUUCGCCAAACAUUUAUUCCGAUCGAUAUUUUUUUAGUGGCAAAAAAUAUAAAAAUUUGGAUGAUGUUCUAAGUGCCAUCUUGAGAUAUUUUAUUCAAAAACAAAUCAAUUUUCAUCGGUCGGGAAUUGGAAAAUUUCCCCACUAUAUAAAUAUUGUUCAUACCGAAGGUGACUACAUUAUUGAUUGAAAAUAAAAACUUGUUCGUUUGAAUUUAAUUGAGGUGGACUAAAUUAUUCCAUUUCCUCUUUGUGGUUGGUAUCAUUAUGAAAGUAUUUUAUUUCCAAUAUAAAUAUUAAUAAUCUGUUGAAAACGCAUGUGUCGCGACUCUAUUGUUUAUAUUAAUUUAUACAUAUUUUCAUUAAUAUAGUUGACCAUACUGAUAGUUAACCCAUAUUAUUUACGCCAGCGAGCUGCUUGAAAUUGUCUGAAGGUCUUCAAGGUUAACUCCAACUAUUAUCAGAUUACUAACAUAUCAAAUAUAAUUUGAAUGGAAGUUGCAACAUGAUGAGUUUCUUAUUGUGCAACAGUAUUAUUUAGUACGAGAAAUUGAAGGCGCAUAUGCGCAUUGGACAAAAUGGACUAUAAUCUGCAUUCGAUUAAAUGCGUUCUGGUUUGAUUUAGCUGAAAAACUUAUAAAAAGGCCUCAGUAAUUAUAGUGAGCAGAGUACAUGUUUAAAGAAUCAAUAGUUCGUUAAAUAUCUAAUAAAUGAGACGCCUAGAAUCAAAGAAACCUCAAUAAAUUUUCGGAAAAGUGAAAAAAUAUGUCACAAACAGACUUCAUUAGCAAUUAUUAGUUCUUUUACCAAAAAAUCAAUAAUUUUUACUUUAUAACAGAGACAAUGUAUGAUUGAGAUCCUCAAAAUAGUUUCAUAAAUAUUGAGAAAAAUUUAAAAUCAAAAUUUGGAUUUUGAUACUAAGAUUGAGAUUUGGCGGGAUUUGAAACAAAAAUAAGCUUAGGCUGUAAAAGGGUUGAGCUGUAAAAGCUAUACUAAUUAUAAUCUUGAUUAAUCUUGACUUUAAUUAUUACAAAAUAAUUAUUGUUAUACUAGAUCACACAAUAUCAAACAAUAAUGUUUUCAUCUUCUUCAUUGUUGAGACCUUCUGCUUCUUGAUUUUCCAAAUCUCGAUAAAAUUUUAGCGUCUCGUAGUUUCUCCACCCUUGUUCAAAGCUUUAUUAGCAGUUUCGCAACUUCCUUAAUUUUUGCAGCUUUAAGGCUAACUUCCUUGUUUAUGGCUUUUGGGUUUAUGUAACAUUUAAACUUUGGUUUUGUGACAGAUUUUGUUUGACAAGUUUCAGUCCUAUAAAAGACUUCACCCUGGACCAGAAUUUUACUUUUCUUCUUGUUCUUUUUGAUGGAUUGAACUCGAAGAGUUACAAGUUCAGUUUUUUUACACUUGAACGGUUCCAUGUUCCCCAGAACUUCUUCAUACUCUUCUGGCUUAAGAAUAAUGCCUUUCUUUUUUAAAUCUGUCUCAAUAAAUCCAAAUACCCUGUCAAAAAUAAAACAUAAAGAAUAAAUUACUCGCAGAGGAUCAAGGGUAAUCACGUGACGAAACUAGGUGCUCCUUUUGGCCGAUUUGAAUUUGGCAGAUAUUGAAACUGAAAAUGGCGUGAUUGUCUUGGACUUGGCGGAUAUUGCAACUAAACUUCAACUCUGGCCUCCGAAUACACUAGAAUGUGACAAGAUUUGCUACAACAUAACAGUUGUAUGGAAUUCAGCAUGGAAAAAUCUAUGAGAAACAAUAUCAAACUCAGCUUCGAAAAAAUAUGUACUUGGCGGUUUUUGAUUUCAGGCACCUCAAAUAUCGGAUAUUUAAUAAUCGCUGAGUAGAAAUGUCAAUGUUAUGUUGUCAAUUCACUACAAUUGUUAUAUUCUAUCAAACAAACAGUUGUAUAGUGUUAAAAACUAAAUAAUAACUUGACAGUCUCAAAAUACCUACUAAAAUAGAAGAUAUACUAGUUGUGGCUAUUAAAUAACGAGACUAGUGUUAUAAUACAUUUUAUUUUGAUAUUAAGUAUAUCAAUUUAUGAUUAUCUUCAAUGUAUACCCCUUCUCUAUCCCUACAUUUUUUUUAAAUAGAUCACUUGUAUGGCAAAACAAAAAACUGCCCUUAUACCACACGAAGGCAACCGCUACACUGGUUUAUCUACACACACUGUAGGCAUCGCAAGAGUUACACUGACAGUCGUUAACAUUUGGCGCGUGCCUACUUUUUCUAUAGCAGUGCUAGUUUCGUUACCUAAUAGCCAUCUUAUUAUAUUUCGCAUGGGCAAUAUAAUGCAUCAAUGAACGAUAAUUUCUAAAAUGAAAUUUUUAGUAUUAUUUGAUUUUCUCCCAACAAUUUUCAAAAAAUUAUUUCAAUUCAUGUCAUAAAUUAUGUAAUAUGUAUGUAGAGGUAGGAAUUAUACAAAAUUUCAGAUCA